rnacentral:rRNA from 1 species
AUUGAACGCUGGCGGCAGGCCUAACACAUGCAAGUCGAGCGAGCGGCGGACGGGGGAGUAAUGUAUGGGGACUGCCCGAUAGAGGGGGGUAACUCCUGGAAACAGUAGCUAAUACCGCAUACUAUCGGAUAACCCAUAUGGGAUUAGCGAGUAGGUGAGGUAAUGGCUCACCUAGGCGACGAUCCCUCGCUGGUCUGAGAGGAUGAUCAGCCACACUGGGACGGAGACACGGCCCAGACUCCUACGGAGGCAGCAGUGGGGAAUAUUGCACAAUGGGCGCAAGCCGGAUGCAGCCAUGCCGCGUGUAUGAAGAAGGCCUUAGGGUUGUAAAGUACUUUCAGUCGGGAGGCGUUACCGACAGAAGAAGCACCGGCUAACUCCGUGCCAGCAGCCGCGGUAAUUC